rnacentral:rRNA from 1 species
UAGUGACAAGAAAUAACAAUACGGGGCUUAAAGUCUUGUAAUUGGAAUGAUGGGAAUUUAAACCUCUUCCAGAGUAUCAAUUGGAGGGCAAGUCUGGUGCCAGCAGCCGCGGUAAUUCCAGCUCCAAUAGCGUAUAUUAAAAUUGUUGCAGUUAAAAAGCUCGUAGUUGAAUUUCUGCUGCAUUGCUUGUGUCCCUCUGGGGUCUGUGCAUGUGGCUUUUUUCGGACGGAGUUUCUUUGUCUGAAUGUUUACUUUGAGAAAAUUAGAGUGCUCAAAGCAGGCUUUCGCCUUGAAUAGUUUAGCAUGGAAUAAUAAAGUAGGACUUUGGUUCUAUUUUG